CCUACGGGUGGCAGCAGUGAGGAAUAUUGGUCAAUGUGCGAGAGCCUGAACCAGCCAAGUCGCGUGAGGGAAGACGGUCCUAUGGAUUGUAAACCUCUUUUGUCGGGGAGCAAAAAGGCCUCGUGAGGCCACAAGUGAGAGUACCCGAAGCAAAAGCAUCGGCUAACUCCGUGCCCGCAGCCGCGGUAAUACGGAGGAUGCGAGCUUUAUCCGGAUUUAUUGGGUUUAACGGGUGCGUAGGGGGACUGGAAAGUCAGUGGUAAAAUCGAGAGGCUCCACCUCUUUCAGCCGUGGAAACUGGCGGUCGUGAGUGGGCGAGAAGUAUGCGGAAUGCGGGGUGUAGAGGUGAAAUGCAUAGAUAUCACGCAGAA
rnacentral:rRNA from 1 species